rnacentral:tRNA from 1 species
UCCCUGGUGGUCCAGUGGUUAAGAUUCUGUGCUUCCAAUGCAGCGGGGCAUGGGUUCAAUCCCAGGUCAGGGAA